rnacentral:rRNA from 1 species
AGAACGAACGCUGGCGGCAGGCCUAACACAUGCAAGUCGAGCGCGCCUUUCGGGGUGAGCGGCGGACGGGUUAGUAACGCGUGGGAAUAUGCCCUUUGGUACGGAAUAGCCUCUGGAAACGGAGAGUAAUACCGUAUGAGCCCUUCGGGGGAAAGAUUUAUCGCCAAAGGAUUAGCCCGCGUUAGAUUAGGUAGUUGGUGGGGUAAUGGCCUACCAAGCCUACGAUCUAUAGCUGGUUUUAGAGGAUGAUCAGCAACACUGGGACUGAGACACGGCCCAGACUCCUACGGGAGGCAGCAGUGGGGAAUCUUGGACAAUGGGGGCAACCCUGAUCCAGCCAUGCCGCGUGAGUGAUGAAGGCCUUAGGGUCGUAAAGCUCUUUCGCCUGUGAAGAUAAUGACGGUAGCAGGUAAAGAAACCCCGGCUAACUCCGUGCCAGCAGCCGCGGUAAUACGGAGGGGGUUAGCGUUGUUCGGAAUUACUGGGCGUAAAGCGCACGUAGGCGGAUCGGAAAGUUGGGGGUGAAAUCCCGGGGCUCAACCCCGGAACUGCCUCCAAAACUAUCGGUCUAGAGUUCGAGAGAGGUGAGUGGAAUUCCGAGUGUAGAGGUGAAAUUCGUAGAUAUUCGGAGGAACACCAGUGGCGAAGGCGGCUCACUGGCUCGAWACU